rnacentral:rRNA from 1 species
UACGUAGGGACCAAGCGUUGUCCGGAAUCAUUGGGCGUAAAGAGCGUGUAGGCGGCUUGUUAAGUCUUGCGUGAAAUCUCGGGGCUCAACCCCGAGCGGUCGUGAGAAACUGGCAGGCUAGAGUGCGGGAGAGGAGAGUGGAAUUCCUGGUGUAGCGGUGAAAUGCGCAGAUAUCAGGAAGAACACCCGUGGCGAAGGCGGCUCUCUGGAACGCAACUGACGCUGAGACGCGGAAGCGUGGGGAGCAAACAGG